GAUUAUGACUAACGACGACUCCAUCUAACUUUUAAAACAAUAUUCGGUGUUACACUUAAUCUAGGGUUCCAUAACCCUCUACGACACUCUAACACAACACAACACUCUAACCCGAGAAAUGGUGACUUUAUGUUCAUCCUCUCUAUUGACAAUAUCCUAUCUUCCUACCACAAAGGCCAAAAGAAGGAAAUUUCAACCGACCGCGGCCCACUGUCCAUCGGGUCACCGCGCGACAGCCCAUAGCCCUUCGGGUUACUGCCACAUUAUACCAUCAUGUAAUACUCAGCCAUAGGCCAUGACCUCGUCUAUCUGAGUCUUCCCAAUCCAGCAAAUAAGGGGUUUCUUUGAACCCGCUGAAUACGAGGGGGAGUUAAUACUAAUCAACCCCUAAACAUGCCUAGCAUGGGGGUUACGCACAUGCUGUCGGCAUCUCUCACU
rnacentral:lncRNA from 1 species